ACUCACGGACAUCGAGCUGGCUCCAGUGACGCGAGUGGCGGACGGGUGAGUAACACGUAGGCAACCUGCCCAUCAGACUGGGAUAACCACGGGAAACCGUGGCUAAUACCGGAUAAUCCUUUUCCACACAGGUGGGAAAGUUGAAAGGCGGUCUUUUGGCUGUCACUGAUGGAUGGGCCUGCGGCGCAUUAGCUGGUUGGUGGGGUAACGGCCCACCAAGGCGACAAUGCGUACCCAACCUGAGAGGGUGAUGCGGCAGGCUUACACUAGGACAUAUAUGACACGGCCCAAACUCCUAGUCGAGACGCGAGUCAGUAGAGAAUAGCUACUCUCACACGAAUGGACAAAAGUCUGAACGGACGCACCGCCGCGUGAGUGAAGAAGCGGAUCUUCGGACUCGUAAAACUCCUGUUGUCAAGGAAAAAACCCCGACGGCUAGUUAACUGCCCGUCGGGUGACAGUACCUGACCAAGCAAGGCUACGGGGCAUAGACUACGUGCCACCACCAGCGGUAACUACGUACGCUGGCAAGUCAUCACCCGAAUCUAUGGGCGCGUAAGGCGCGCCGUACGUCAGUUUCGUUAAGUUCGAUGCGAAAACCCCCCCGGCUCCACCCGGGGGAGGGUCAUAGACACCAGCGACUCGAUUUUGAGUCAAAAAAAAGAAAAAGGCCAUAACUUCCAUGUGUAACGGUUGAAAUGCCCAAAAAUAUAGGAAAGAACACCACUCGGCCAAGGCGGGCCCUCCCGGGCUCUGCAACCCGACGCCUAAGGUGCCAAAGCCUGGAGGAACCAAACAGGAUUUAGAUAGCCUGGGUAAUCCACGCCGGAAAACGAUGAGUGAUAAGUGAUAGGGGGGUUCCCGCCCCCUUAGUGCUGCAGCUAACGCAUUAAGCACUCCCCCCCUGGGGAGGACGGGCCGGCAAGUGUCAAAACCUCAAAAGGAAUUGACGGGCGACCCCGCACCAAGCGGUGGGAAAAGUGUGCGUUUAAAUUCGCAAGCCAACCGCGAAGUAACCUUACCCAAAUCCUGAGCAUCCUCCUGACCACCCGCGGUAGACAGGGGGUGCCUCCCUGCGCGAGAAGAGUGACAAGGUGGUGCACAAUGGUCUCUCCCCAGCUACGAGGAAGUGAUGAAGUAGGGUUAAGUACCCCCAACGAGACGCAACGCGCGUAUCAUUAGUAUAGCACGAGCAUCUCAGUUGAUGCACACUAAUGAGACCAUGCCGGUGACAAACCGGAGGAAGGUGGGGAUGACGUCAAAUCAUCAUGCCCCUUAUGAUUUGGGCUACACACGUGCUACAAUGGACAGGUUACAAAGGGCAGCUAAGCCGCGAGGCCAAGCGAAUCCCAUAAAACUGUUCUCAGUUCGGAUUGGAGUCUGCAACUCGACUCCAUGAAGCUGGAAUCGCUAGUAAUCGUGGAUCAGAAUGCCACGGUGAAUACGUUCCCGGGUCUUGUACACACCGCCCGUCACACCACGAAAGUCGGUAACACUUGAAGCCGGUGGGCCAACGUCGUGGACGCGGCGGACGUAAGAG
rnacentral:rRNA from 1 species